CCUACGGGAGGCAGCAGUGGGGAAUAUUGCGCAAUGGGCGGAAGCCUGACGCAGCGACGCCGCGUGGGGGAUGACGGCCUUCGGGUUGUAAACCUCUUUCGCCAGGGACGAGGAGUGAUUGACGGUACCUGGAGAAGAAGCACCGGCCAACUACGUGCCAGCAGCCGCGGUAACACGUAGGGUGCGAGCGUUGUCCGGAAUUAUUGGGCGUAAAGAGCUCGUAGGCGGUGUGUCGCGUCGGCCGUGAAAACUUGGGGCUUAACUCUGAGCGUGCGGUCGAUACGGGCAUCACUUGAGUUCGGCAGGGGAGACUGGAAUUCCUGGUGUAGCGGUGAAAUGCGCAGAUAUCAGGAGGAACACCGGUGGCGAAGGCGGGUCUCUGGGCCGAUACUGACGCUGAGGAGCGAAAGCGUGGGGAGCGAACAGGAUUAGAUACCCUGGUAGUCCACGCCGUAAACGUUGGGCGCUAGGUGUGGGGACCAUUCCACGGUUUCUGUGCCGCAGCUAACGCAUUAAGCGCCCCGCCUGGGGAGUACGGCCGCAAGGCUAAAACUCAAAGGAAUUGACGG
rnacentral:rRNA from 1 species